rnacentral:tRNA from 2 species
AAGAUCACAAUAAUAGAGCUGCUAACUCUAUAACAAUGAAAAAUCAUUUGAUCUUU